CCGCCCCGAGCUUCCGUCGUCGGCCCUUGUCAUUAGACCACUAUCUAUGCAUGUAUAUUAAGCCUUUCGACAUGGUCUUCUCUCUCUUUCCUAUUGCUAUUGGGAUCCCUUUCAUAUUCAUAUUCAAUAAAUAGAUUGCCUCUAUCCAUUUCUCCCUCUCUACUUCAAAGGGCGGGGAGGUAGGAUGGGAGACCCACAUGCCCACUUCUCCUUCCCUGCCCCAUUUCUGGGACGGGCCUCGUUCUUAUUU
rnacentral:lncRNA from 1 species